AUUGAACGCUGGCGGCAGGCCUAACACAUGCAAGUCGAGCGAGCGGUGGACGGGUGAGUAAUGUCUGGGAAACUGCCGGAUGGCGGGGGGUAACGAAGGGAAACGGUAGCUAAUACCGCAUAGCAUAUGAUGUGCGCAGAUGGGAUUAGCUGGUAGGUGGGGUAACGGCUCACCUAGGCGACGAUCCCUAGCUGGUCUGAGAGGAUGACCAGCCACACUGGAACUGAGACACGGUCCAGACUCCUACGGGAGGCAGCAGUGGGGAAUAUUGCACAAUGGGCGCAAGCCUGAUGCAGCCAUGCCGCGUGUGUGAAGAAGGCCUUCGGGUUGUAAAGCACUUUCAGCGGGGAGGCGUUACCCGCAGAAGAAGCACCGGCUAACUCCGUGCCAGCAGCCGCGGUAAUUC
rnacentral:rRNA from 1 species